AACGCCGCGUGGGUGAUGAAGGCCUUCGGGUCGUAAAACCCUUUUCUGGGGGAAGAGUAAGGACGGUACCCCAGGAAUAAGCCUCGGCUAACUAUGUGCCAGCAGCCCGCGGUAAUACAUAGGAGGCAAGCGUUAUCCCGGAUUACUGGGCGUAAAGAGCGUUGAGGCGGCUUCGUAAGUUGGACGUGAAAGCUCCCGGCUUAACUGGGAGAGCCCGUUCAAUACUGCGGGGCUUGAGGACAGCAGAGGGGGGUGGAAUUUCCGGUGUAGUGGUGAAAUGCGUAGGUAUCGGAAGGAACACCAGUGGCGAAGGCGGCCCCCUGGGCUGCUCCUGACGCUGAAGGCGAAAGCUAGGGUAGCGAACGGGAUUAGAAACCCCGGUAGUCCUAGCCGUAAACGAUGGAUACUAGGUGUAGGAGGUUAAAAUUCCUUCUGUGCCGGAGCUAACGCGUUAAGUAUCCCGCCUGGGGAGUACGGUCGCAAGGCUAAAACUCAAAGGAAUUGACGGGGGCCCGCACAAGCAGCGGAGCGUGUGGUUUAAUUCGAUGCAACGCGAAGAACCUUACCAGGGCUUGACAUGUAGGUAGUAGUGAAGCGAAAGCGGAACGAUCCUUCGGGAAGCCUACACAGGUGCUGCAUGGCUGUCGUCAGCUCGUGCCGUGAGGUGUUAGGUUAAGUCCUGUAACGAGCGCAACCCCUGCCGUUAGUUACAAGUGUCUAACGGGACUGCCCGGCAAAACUGGGAGGAAGGUGGGGAUGACGUCAAGUCAGCAUGGCCUUUAUGUCCUGGGCUACACACACGCUACAAUGGCCGGUACAAUGGGUUGCCAAGCCGCGAGGCGGAGCCAAUCCUCUAAAGCCGGUCUCAGUUCGGAUUGUAGGCUGCAACCCGCCUGCAUGAAGUUGGAGUUGCUAGUAACCGCAGGUCAGCCACACUGCGGUGAAUACGUUCCCGGGCCUUGUACACACCGCCCGUCACGUCAUGGAAGCUGGUAACACCUGAAGCCGGUGAGCUAACCGCCAAGGAAGCAACCGUCGAAGGUGGGACUGGU
rnacentral:rRNA from 1 species